CUGAACAGAAAGAGACCACCAGACAACAUGAAGCACCUCUGCGUCGUCGCUCUCAUCUUCAGCGCCCUCGUCUCCCUGACGCUGAGUUACAGUGGCAGUGAAGCAGGAGUUUGCUGCUUUGAAUUGUUCAAAUCCAGAGUUCCAGCAAAAUCGGUGUUAAGCGUUCAGGAAACAGAUGAGAGAUGCCUCCUUCGUGCUGUGAUACUGCACACAGUAAAGAAGCAGAUAUGUGCGCACCCGUCACUGCCUUGGGUUCAGACAAUAAUGAAGAAAGUGAAGACAACCGCCUAACCUGUGAGAAGGGAAACAACGCCUCCAGCAGCCUCUACAGGAAUUACUUCUGGAGACAAAACUGCAGCACGCGCACUGACUUCUCCCUGAUUGUGAUAAUGUUCUGAAUUUACUGCAGCUUCUGUACACUGAUGUUAGUUUGUUUACUAAGCUUUUAUUUCUUUUUUGUCAGGAUGUUAAUGAAAAAAUCCAUGAGUAUUCAAAAAGCAGUAUCAAAAUUAAGUUAUAAG